UACGUAGGGUGCGAGCGUUAAUCGGAAUUACUGGGCGUAAAGCGUGCGUAGGCGGUUCGCUGUGUCCGAUGUGAAAGCCCCCGGGCUUAACCUGGGAAUGGCAUUGGAAACUGGCGGGCUUGAGUGCGGCAGAGGGGGGGUGGAAUUCCGCGUGUAGCAGUGAAAUGCGUAGAGAUGCGGAGGAACACCGAUGGCGAAGGCAGCCCCCCUGGGUCGACACUGACGCUCAGGCACGAAAGCGUGG
rnacentral:rRNA from 1 species